rnacentral:rRNA from 1 species
GUGAAUCAUCGAAUCUUUGAACGCACCUUGCGCUCCUUGGUAUUCCGAGGAGCAUGCCUGUUUGAGUGUCAUGAAAACCCUCAACCCUAGAUUGGUUAAAACCUUUCUUUGGUUUGGAUUUGGACGUUUGCCGAUGAUAAGUCGGCUCGUCUUAAAAGUAAUAGCUGGAUCUGUCUCGCGACAUGGUUUGACUUGGCGUAAUAAGUAUUUCGCUAAGGACAUCUUCGGAUGGCCAGGACUUGACUUUUGUCUGCUUACUAAACCUUACUUUAAGUGCAUCUCUGGUGUUACUUAUAGUAUUACUUUGACAUAUGGCCUCAAAUCAGGUAGGACUACCCGCUGAACUUAA